CCUACGGGCGGCAGCAGUGGGGAAUUUUGGACAAUGGGCGAAAGCCUGAUACAGCCAUGCCGCGUGCGGGAAGAAGGCCUUCGGGUUGUAAACCGCUUUUGGCAGGAACGAAACGGUGCGAGCUAAUACCUCGCGCUAAUGACGGUACCUGCAGAAUAAGCACCGGCUAACUACGUGCCAGCAGCCGCGGUAAUACGUAGGGUGCGAGCGUUAAUCGGAAUUACUGGGCGUAAAGCGUGCGCAGGCGGCUCUGUAAGACGGAUGUGAAAUCCCCGGGCUUAACCUGGGAACUGCAUUCGUGACUGCAGGGCUCGAGUCUGUCAGAGGGGGGUGGAAUUCCACGUGUAGCAGUGAAAUGCGUAGAGAUGUGGAGGAACACCGAUGGCGAAGGCAGCCCCCUGGGACAAAACUGACGCUCAUGCACGAAAGCGUGGGGAGCAAACAGGAUUAGAUACCCCAGUAGUC
rnacentral:rRNA from 1 species